ACCCCAUGUGUAUCUAAACUUGUUGCUUUGGCGGGCCCGCGGUGUCAUACCGCCCCCGGCUCGCGCUGGGCCGCGCCCGCCAG
rnacentral:rRNA from 1 species